rnacentral:rRNA from 1 species
AUUGAACGCUGGCGGCAGGCCUAACACAUGCAAGUCGAACGGUAACAGGAAGAAGCUUGCUUCUUUGCUGACGAGUGGCGGACGGGUGAGUAAUGUCUGGGAAACUGCCUGAUGGAGGGGGAUAACUACUGGAAACGGUAGCUAAUACCGCAUAACGUCGCAAGACCAAAGAGGGGGACCUUCGGGCCUCUUGCCAUCGGAUGUGCCCAGAUGGGAUUAGCUAGUAGGUGGGGUAACGGCUCACCUAGGCGACGAUCCCUAGCUGGUCUGAGAGGAUGACCAGCCACUCAGGAAGUGAGACGCGGUCCAGACGCCUACGUGAGGCAGCAGUGGGGAAUAGUGGACAAAGGGCGCAAGCCUGAUGCAGCCAUGCCGCGUGUAUGAAGAAGGCCUGCGUGUUGUAAAGUACUUUCAGCGGGGAGGAAGGGAGUAAAGUUAAUACCUUUACUCAUGGACGUGACCCGCAGAAGAAGCACCGGCUAACUCCGU